rnacentral:SRP_RNA from 1 species
GCCGGGCACUGUGGCACACGCCUUUAGUCCCAGCCACUCGGGAGGCUGAGACAGGAGGAUCGCUUGAGUCCAGGUGUUCUGGGUUGUAGUGCGCUAUGCCGAUCAGGUGUCCGCACUAAGUUCGGCAUCAAUAUAGUGACCUCCCGGGAGCAGGGGAACACCAGGUUGCCUAAGGAGGGGUGAACCGGCCCAGGUCGGAAACGGAGCAGGUCAAAACUCCCGUGUCGAUCAAUAGUGGGAUCGCGCCUGUGAAUAGCCACUGCACUCCAGCCUGGGCAACAUAGCGAGACCCCGUCUCU